GAUAAAGAAAUAGAAGAAGAAACUGUUUUAUUAAAUGAUUACAAAAUAAAUGUUAAUGAAACAAGACUAACAGAUAAUAUUGAGGAUAUCUUGAAUAAAUCAAAAAAUCAAAUCACAGCACCCGAAAUUUCGGUAACUUUGUUACAACCAAAAAUGAUUUCCAAUUCAGAGCGAGAAACUCUUAGUCCUAAAAUAAUAAAUUUAGAUGAAUGCGAGGAGCCAACUAAAGGUUUAUUCGAAAGAAGAAAAACCGAUAUUCAAGAUCCAAAAGCAUUAUUGAGAAGUUUGUGUUGUUCAAUAGUUUACACAACGAGACUGGAGGAUAUAUGUAUAUUGCGAAGUACAAUCAAAUAUCUAGAUGGUAAAUAUGUACUGAAAGAAAUAUUACGAGAAAGUAAACCAAAUGUUAUAUUUAAACAAAAGACAUCACCAUCGUCUAUAAAUAAGAAUAAUUUUAAACGAUUAAAAGUUGAAUUAAAAAUACUCAACAAUAAAAAUAAGCUUAAACGUGCAGACAUUCGUUCACCGACAUAUGUUAAUUUUAAAUUGAUACCUUCAGAUAUUUUUAUUCAAAUUACAAAUCAAUCUGCUUAUACUAAAAUACUCGUAGAUCCAAAAAUAUCUACGGACACUCAAGACGAUCUUUACAGUACUGCGUUCAAUGAUGUUUUCAUUUAUAACCCAAAAAUUAGAUCUAUAGAAAAAGUUGAAGCUAACCAAAAUAUUUCAUUACUGAUUCAUAAUAAGUUCCGUGACAUGACAGAAGUUUUCGUUACGGAUAAUAACGGAAAUGUAACAGAACUUCGUAGAUUCAAAUCUCAAAAUUCAGUCGAAUUGAAUGAAUUUAUAAACAAUAUCGACUCUAAUAAACGAAGAUUGAAACUGACAACUUGCUGUUGGUUCCAUAGAAAUAUGAAUAUCGAUAAAGUUUGGUCGAAUACAAUCGCUCGAUUCGUCAAAUCGAUGCAUCCUUGUCAACCAGGGAGUUGUGAAUGUUGCUGCAAACCACACCUGGGUCGCCACUCGUUUAAUACAACACGUAAUAUUAGUAGUAGUUGUACUGAAGUAGAUAACGCAUCCAUCGUUAAACUUGAUAAGAAUAGUUUAAUAGGAAGAGCGCUUGAUUUCCGUAAACCAAUUAAAGAAAUUAAAAAUAUUAAACAUGAUACAAAAAUACGUCCAUUGAUUAUAGAAUUUAAUAAAACCGAAAGGAUAGAACAUUACGCUAUCGAUUCCAAAGGAUGUAUAGAUUGGCAAAUUACAGUACGACCACAUAAUAACCACCCAUUAGAUAAUACGAUUGAACUAUUAAAAAACAGAUCAAAACAUAUACCUUCACUCAAAGAAACUAUAAACAGUACACACGAACAUGAUAUUUUUAUUAAUAAACUUAAAGUACGAAAUGUACCCGUCAAUGUUAUAAAUUAUCUGAAGUGUAUAGUUUUGGAAAAUAGUAACGUAAAAAUCAUAGCUGCGACACCAAAGCUGAAAUUAACUAAGGAAAUAUAUAAUAUAGAACAUACAAGAACAUACACACUACCAUCAUUAAUAAAAAUAGGACAAAUCUUGAAAUCUAAAUCUAUGUUAAAAGGGAAACCAAUAUUUGAUCAUGUCAACAAAAUAGGCAAAAGAGUUCCUGGAAACAAGAUGGAUCUCGUACCAUCUAAAUCUGGAUCAAAUUCUCCUGUGGAUAAGAUAAUUUCAGGAAUUGUCUUCAAAGUGGAGCCAGAUCACCAGCAAGGGAAAACAAAUGAUUCCUUCUCACCCUAUAGACUUAGACCUCUACAAUGGCCACCGUCCAUACAAAUUUAUAACCCUACCACAAGCAGGAGUAUCAAAAGAGAAGUUGAUAUUCAAGAUGGCGAUGACACCAACAAUAUUUUCAAUAAUAAAUCGUUCGAGUCUUUUAUUAAAAUAGAAAAUAAUAACACAGAUAUAGCUAUGCCAGUUAUUACCAACGUUUUUUCUCUUAACAAUAAUAAAUUAACGAAUUAAUUAAUUGGUUAAAACAGUUUUUCACCUGUUAGUUAAGUAAGUGUGAAUUCUGGGACGAAAAUUGGUUCCAAAGUUGGUCGAGCA